rnacentral:lncRNA from 1 species
UUUCUUCCUUAACUAUUCCCAAGAUACCACAGCUAAGUCAGAAUAAUCUAUUUGUUGUUUCUGCAGCACUAUUCUGAACUGCCUGAUAUCAAGCGUGUUAUUGUGAAUACACAUGCAAUUGAGCCUCAGGUGGGAAAAAUCUAUAGAUCUUAUUUACCUUUUCUUUAGGAGUUUAUCUGGCUUAUACUGAUUAAUGCUAUUCCUUUCAGGGAAAAAUCUAUAGAUCGUAUUUACCUUUUCUUUAGGAGUUUAUCUGGCUUAUACUGAUUAAUGCUAUUCCUUUCAGGCCCUGGUUGAGUUCUUUGGGACUCUUUCACGUGAAUGGGCACUGGAAUGCAUGAAAGACCUCCUCGUUAUCAAUAUCAAAGGAAACCUUCAAAUAAUUGUUCAGGUACUGGUUAUGGCGUGUCAUUGCAGAAGAGACCUUUUUCUGGAAUUUAUCAUGUACUCUCACCUAUAAUGCUUGCAUAAAUUCAAGCAGCGGAAUUUCUUGGUAGUAUUCCACAAUAAUGGCAGCUUAGCUGAUUAUGAGUAUUGCAGGUUGCAAAAGAGUACUGUGAGCAGUUGGGUGUUGAUGCUUGCAUAAAGCUUUUUGAGCAAUUUAAGUCUUAUGAGGGGUUAUAUUUCUUCCUUGGAUCAUAUUUGAGUUCCA